UACAGAGGGGGCAAGCGUUGUUCGGAAUUACUGGGCGUAAAGGGCGCGUAGGCGGCCUUCUAAGUCGAACGUGAAAUCCCUGGGCUCAACCCAGGAACUGCGUCCGAUACUGGGAGGCUUGAAUCCGGGAGAGGGAUGUGGAAUUCCAGGUGUAGCGGUGAAAUGCGUAGAUAUCUGGAGGAAUACCGGUGGCGAAGGCGGCAUCCUGGACCGACAUUGACGCUGAGGAGCGAAAGCUAGGGGAGCAAACGGG
rnacentral:rRNA from 1 species